UAGUCCACGCCGUAAACGAUGUCGACUAGCCGUUGGGCUCCUUGAGAGCUUUGUGGCGCAGUUAACGCGAUAAGUCGACCGCCUGGGGAGUACGGCCGCAAGGUUAAAACUCAAAUGAAUUGACGGGGGCCCGCACAAGCGGUGGAGCAUGUGGUUUAAUUCGAUGCAACGCGAAGAACCUUACCUACACUUGACAUUCAGCGAACUUACCAGAGAUGGUUUGGUGCCUUCGGGAACGCUGGGACAGGUGCUGCAUGGCUGUCGUCAGCUCGUGUCGUGAGAUGUUGGGUUAAGUCCCGCAACGAGCGCAACCCUUGUCCUUAUUUGCCAUCAUUAAGUUGGGCACUCUAAGGAGACUGCCGGUGACAAACCGGGAGGAAGGUGGGGACGACGUCAAGUCAUCAUGGGCCCUUACGUGUAGGGGCUACACACGUGCUACAAUGGACGGUACAGA
rnacentral:rRNA from 1 species